rnacentral:rRNA from 1 species
CCUACGGGUGGCAGCAGUGGGGAAUAUUGGACAAUGGGGGCAACCCUGAUCCAGCCAUGCCGCGUGUGUGAAGAAGGCCCUCGGGUUGUAAAGCACUUUCAGUGAGGAAGAACGCCUGGUGGUUAAUACCCAUCAGGAAAGACAUCACUCACAGAAGAAGCACCGGCUAACUCCGUGCCAGCAGCCGCGGUAAUACGGAGGGUGCGAGCGUUAAUCGGAAUUACUGGGCGUAAAGCGCGCGUAGGUGGCUUGAUAAGCCGGUUGUGAAAGCCCCGGGCUCAACCUGGGAACGGCAUCCGGAACUGUCAAGCUAGAGUGCAGGAGAGGAAGGUAGAAUUCCCGGUGUAGCGGUGAAAUGCGCAGAGAUCGGGAGGAAUACCAGUGGCGAAGGCGGCCUUCUGGACUGACACUGACACUGAGGUGCGAAAGCGUGGGUAGCAAACAGGAUUAGAUACCCCUGUAGUC